rnacentral:rRNA from 1 species
CCUAAGAGUGCGCAUGUAGUAAUUAGUUCUAUCAAGAGAUGGUUGGGAAGAGUUUAUAACCCUUUUUUGCCUACUUUUGGUAAACUUCAGUCGGGCAGGGCCUUACGGUUCUCGUCUGACAGUUGCUGCGUGUACACUUGUCCACGGUUCAUCCGUGAGGCCCCUUUGGGUUGCAACUGUAAAUAAAUCGUUGUGCUUAAAGCGGGCUAUGAUACUCUGCCAGAGCGAUUUAGCAUGGGACUGCAGAGUAGCUGUAUUUGAGUGAAACCUGGACCUCGGUUUGGGCGUAGCUUGGUACAGCGCUUGUAAUGGAGCUCAGGGUGAGGCCCCGGGUACCAUGAGGCUAGAGGUGAAAUUCUGAGACCCUCAUGUGACCAACUAAGGCGAAAGCUGUCGUGGGCCACCACAAGCUCGUCUAUCAGGGACGAAAGUUGGGGGAUCGAAGACGAUUAGAUACCGUCGUAGUCCCAACUAUAAACGAUACCAACCGAGUAUUUGGGAAGACACUAUCCCAGCGAUCUUCUCAGAACUCAAGGGAAACCUUAAGUCUUUGGGUUCUGGGGGGAGUAUAGUCGCAAGACCGAAACUUAAAGGAAUUGACGGAAAGGCACCACCAGGAGUGGAGUCUGCGGCUUAAUUCGACCCAACACGGGGAAACUCACCAGGUCAGGACACAAGUUUGAUUGACAGGUUAAUAGCCCUUUCUUGAUUGUGUGGUGGGUAGUGCAUGGCCGUUUCCAGUUCGUGGAGUGAUCUGUCUUGUUAAUUCAGAUAACGAACGAGACCUAAGCCUUUAACUAGCCGUAGGCCCUUUCCUUCGGGGAAGGGUUAGUUUAUCGGGACUGGCUUUUGGCCUUUUCCAAAACCUACGUGACUUUUGUCAGCUUCUUAAAGGGACUUCAUUCGUUCUAGUAGAAUGAGGAAGAUUUAGGCCAUAACAGGUCUGUGAUGCUCUUAGAUGUCCUGGGCUGCACGCGUACUACAAUAACGGUACCAGCGAGCGCUAUGGUUUUAUAACCCCUUAUCCUAAUAGGAUUGGGAAAACUUUUCAAACACCGUUAUGACAGGGAUCGAGGAUUGGAACAUCCUCGUGAACGAGGAAUUCCUAGUAAGCGUGGUUCAUCAUACCACAUUGAUUACGUCCCUGCCUUUUGGUACACACCGCCCGUCGCUCCUACCGAUGGGACGAAGAGAUGAACCUGGCGGACCGAGCCGCAAGGCAAGGGAAACCAGUUAAAUCUCUUCGUCUGUAGGAAGGAAA